rnacentral:rRNA from 1 species
CAUACGGCCCAGUAACGCGUAGUCAACCUACCCUAUGGACGGAAAUAACCUCGGGAAACUGAGAAUAAUAUCCGAUAGAACAUUAUGCCUGGAAUGGUUUAUGUUCCAAAUGUUUUAUCGCCGUAGGAUGGGACUGCGGCCUAUCAGUUUGUUGGUGAGGUAAUGGCCCACCAAGACUAUUACAGGUACGGGCUCUGAGAGGAGUAGCCCGGAGAUGGGUACUGAGACACGGACCCAGGCCCUAUGGGGCGCAGCAGGCGAGAAAACUUUGCAAUGUGCGAAAGCACGACAAGGUUAAUCCGAGUGAUUUCUGCUAAAGAAAUCUUUUGUUAGUCCUAGAAACACUAACGAAUAAGGGGUGGGCAAGUUCUGGUGUCAGCCGCCGCGGUAAAACCAGCACCUCAAGUGGUCAGGAUGAUUAUUGGGCCUAAAGCAUCCGUAGCCGGCUCUGUAAGUCCUCGGUUAAAUCUGUACGCUUAACGUACAGGCUGCCGGGAAUACUGCAUAGCUAGGGAGUGGGAGAGGUAGACGGUACUCGGUAGGAAGGGGUAAAAUCCUUUGAUCUAUUGAUGACCACCUGUGGCGAAGGCGGUCUACCAGAACACGUCCGACGGUGAGGGAUGAAAGCUGGGGGAGCAAACCGGAUUAGAUACCCGGGUAGUCCCAGCUGUAAACUAUGCAAACUCAGUGAUGCAUUGGCUUGUGGCCAAUGCAGUGCUGCAGGGAAGCCGUUAAGUUUGCCGCCUGGGAAGUACGUACGCAAGUAUGAAACUUAAAGGAAUUGGCGGGGGAGCACCACAAGGGGUGAAGCCUGCGGUUCAAUUGGAUUCAACGCCGGGAAGGGC